rnacentral:rRNA from 1 species
GAUGAACGCUGGCGGCGUGCCUAAUACAUGCAAGUCGAGCGAACGGACGAGAAGCUUGCUUCUCUGAUGUUAGCGGCGGACGGGUGAGUAACACGUGGAUAACCUACCUAUAAGACUGGGAUAACUUCGGGAAACCGGAGCUAAUACCGGAUAAUAUUUUGAACCGCAUGGUUCAAAAGUGAAAGACGGUCUUGCUGUCACUUAUAGAUGGAUCCGCGCUGCAUUAGCUAGUUGGUAAGGUAACGGCUUACCAAGGCAACGAUGCAUAGCCGACCUGAGAGGGUGAUCGGCCACACGUGAACUGAGACACGGUCCAGACUCCUACGGGAGGCAGCAGUAGGGAAUCUUCCGCAAUGGGCGAAAGCCUGACGGAGCAACGCCGCGUGAGUGAUGAAGGUCUUCGGAUCGUAAAACUCUGUUAUUAGGGAAGAACAUAUGUGUAAGUCACUGUGCACAUCUUGACGGUACCUAAUCAGAAAGCCACGGCUAACUACGU